rnacentral:lncRNA from 1 species
CGUCGGAUCGAAGUACCCACCUGUAAGGAUAUCGCGUCUGUCUCCUGACUGCAAAAGAAUGUCAACAAGACCUAUAGAAGGUCCACCGGGUUAGUAUCUAACCCACAACUAAUAACCACAGUAUCCACAACCCCACAAACAAUUUCACGAAGAUUGUUUUCCCAAUACCGAUUACCGUAACUCGCCGGAAGUCCCGAAAACCACACCGGGACACCGUC